AUGGAUACAAAUGAUGGCCCAAUGUACCGACCCAAGCGGACAAGCAUUUUUUUUUGUCCAUGCACAACCUUCUUCAUUCCCAAAUUUGAGCCUAAUUUGCGCCGGCGCGGACACGGAGCAAACUUGCGCACGCCCGCCCUUGUCCUCCCCAUGUGGCAGAUUCAUCCCCGUUUUCCUCCCAUUCCCAAAACCCUCUCGCUCGCUCGCUCGAUCUCCCGCCCUCUCGCCAUAGCAGAAGCGUUCAACCCCGCCGCCACCGGCCUCGCCUCCACCGGCUGGCCUAAGGAAGGUGCGGGCCGACAAGGCGGGAGCUUGGACGCCGUCGCCCUACACGAGGCCUACAUUAUGGAGAACAAGGCCCUUGACGUUGCGGCCAUGCCGCAUGCCCUCCUCUACCUAGGGUUCGACAACGGCCUAGCGCAACAUGGCCUCGUCACUGCCCCCAUGGCCGCAGCCAGCACGGGAUCGUCGGUGGUCUGGCAUGGGAGCGGGCACGAACUGGGGACACUGGCCUUUUUUAGAUUACUUCUGCUUUUGGACGCCGACGAAAAAUGGGUCAGCUGGUUGGGCGCACCGGUCGGACACAGGCGGGCAUGUAUCCAACAGCCGACCCAAACGGACGAAAAACGUACAAACCGCGCGUCCAUUUGGGUCGGCACGCUGGAGUUGCUUGUAGUCCUUUCUAGAAUCGACGGCAACGGCGUUUUUUUAGAUAGGCGGCAACUGUUUUUUAAGCCGGCGGCGGAUGGGCUUGUUGAGCCGGCAGACAACCAGGGCCGACGCCUAUCUGGAAGCAACCCGCUCCUUAAAAAAGGGCGCCUCUAUUCCCCGUGCGCACAUCCCACCAAGCCCCAGCGCGGGGUUUGGGCCGACCCAUAUGCGGGGAAUACAUAUGUGCGUGAGUUGCCUGCUGGAAUUAGUCGGCUCACUACACUACGACACCUAAUCGGAUUUAUGACCUGCGUGAGUUGCCUGCAGCUACCAAAAGGGAUUGGGGGCAUGAGGAACUUACAGCUGAUGCCAAGAUUUAUUAUUACCUCGCAAGAAACAGAUGUGUUGGAGGAUCUCGGGAACCUGACAAGUUUGGAGGAACUCAAUGUGAAUCUUGGUAAUCAAGUAUCUAGCGAGGACAAGAGAUGUGAAAAAGAGGCGUUCCUCUCCUCACUGUGGAAGCUUGGCACCUGCAAACUCCGGUCUUUGGAUAUAGAUGCGUUCUGUGGAUAUAUUGUGUGGCUGGAGCUUGCUUGCUUGGAAGGUGUUUGUAGAGGCCGCGCGCCUUCUGGCCGAGAAUGCCGAGAAGAGGCCGCGCGCCUUGUGGCCGCUUGUAGGUGUUUCAGUUCAGGGUACUCUGUUUCCUCUCCUCUGCUCUUGGUAACCAAGGCCAUCAAAGAAGUUCGUUGGUACAGAGUCCAAGCCACUUCUUUCCCAAUUCUGAAGGUCUUCGGCUUGCAAAGAACUCAACAAGUAUAUGUUUCGUUCGUGAAAGGGUCUGCGCCCAAGCUUCAGGAACUUAGCAACAUGCCAUUCACUUACAUAUGGCUUGAUGACGAAGGUGCGACACCUUCAGAAAGCAAGGCUGCAGCUGCUGCCAAUCCCAACCAUCCUCAAGUUACUUUUCGGGGGAAACCAGCUGAGGGAGAGGACGAUGAAGAGAGCGGUGGUAGUGGCGAGGAGAAGAGCAAGGAAGAUGGUGACGCCGAUGAGAUCCUGCUGCAAAGCGGCCGGAUUAGCCGGCGUUUUAAGUUGAUCGUUGCAGAAAAAUGCAACCACCUCCCAGCCCUGGACCUCAUCGUCGAUCAGUAG
rnacentral:rRNA from 1 species